UAACACUAGCAACCCAAGUGGUAGUCAUUUUUAUUUGGCUUAAAGCGUCCGUAGUCUGAUUAGUAAGUUCUCUGUGAAAUCCUGUUGCUUAACAAUAGGGCUUGCAGAGAAUACUUCUAAUCUUGGAGCCAGGAGAGGUUAGGGGUAUUCCAGGGGUAGCGGUGAAAUGCUAUAAUCCCUGGAGGACCACCGAUAGCGAAGGCACCUAACUAGAAUGGGCUCGACGAUGAGGGACGAAAGCUAGGGGAGCAAACCGGAUUAGAUACCCGGGUAGUCCUAGCCGUAAACGAUGUGGGCUGAGUGUUUCUUGAACUUCGGGUUCAAGAAGUGCGAAGGGAAACCGUUAAGCCCACCGCCUGGGGAGUACGGUCGCAAGGCUG
rnacentral:rRNA from 1 species